rnacentral:rRNA from 1 species
GGUCCGUGGUCGAUCCCGCGCCGUCGCACCGCCGCCAUACACCGCCCGGGGCUAUCGCCAGUUGAUCCCACCCCGCCCUGCCUCUGCAGCGCUGCCCCACGCCGCCGUCCUUCUGUCGCGCCGCUCCAGCGCCGCCCAAUGCUGUCCGGCCUCUCCACCGCCGGCACCACGCCCUCGUGCUACAUCCAGCAAAGCUGCCGCCCCCUCCCUAGCCCGACCUCCCCCAUCUCCACCACGAAGGGACAAACAGCGGCAGCGGCGAGUUGGAUCGGGGCAGCGUGCUGCUGGGCAACGGCUGAGCACAUAGGAGCAGCUCUUGGUGAUUUUAGCAAAAGUUCACGCCCAAGGGGUUCACUGUGUGGCCAUGAGAGUAUAUAAUCUAUGACAGGACUUGCCGCUUAAGCAAUGUGAUUAUGGGAAAUUGGGGACAGAAGCAACAAGUGUGUGAACUCAAACUUCUGUGUGAGCUCAUACUGGUUGCCUGGCAAAAAGCCCAGGAAGAUAGCCCGGCAAAUGUUCGUGCUUCAGAAUUUUCGGAAGUUCUUCUACUUCUAUCACAUCAGCAGAGCUUGAUCCUCAUGCCUUGCACACGUGUUCUUUUAAUAAUGUUGCUGUUGGAUUCUGUAGGAAAGACAAAGAGGACCAAGAAGUAGAUAUCUUCUGUAAUGGAGCAAAAACAAUGAUCUUGUAGCUAUCAGUUUGCGUCAACUAGAUAUCUUCUGUAACGGAGCAAAAACAAUGAUCUUGUAGCUAUCAUUUUGUAAUGGAUAUCUUGUGUAACGGACCAUACAUUGAAUCGUCAAACAUGCACCUAUCAUUUUAUAAACCUAUUGGGUGUUUCGGUCACUCCUACAAAUGUAACGGACCAUACCAUUGGCAAAAUGUUUACGAACCAUCGAUCGGCAAAAGGAAGCCUUGUCCUAUAGUUGGUCGGGAAAGGUUCAUUGUAGGGCCAACAAAAAGUUGGUUGGCAAAACUAAUAUCAUCAGAUUGUUUUUUUGAGGAACCAGG